rnacentral:rRNA from 1 species
AAUGAACGUUGGCGGCGUGGAUUAGGCAUGCAAGUCGAGCGAGAACCCCGCAAGGGGGGACAGCGGCGAAAGGGACAGUAAUGUGUAGAUUAUCUGCCCUCAGGUCCGGGAUAGCUGCGGGAAACUGCAGGUAAUACCGGAUAACAUCUCCGGAUCAAAGGUGUGAUUCCGCCUGAGGAUGAGUCUGCAUCCUAUUAGCUAGUUGGUGGGGUAAUGGCCUACCAAGGCAUUGAUGGGUAGCAGGUGUGAGAGCACGACCUACGUCAUUGGGACUGAGACACUGCCCAGACACCUACGGGUGGCUGCAGUCGAGAAUCUUCGGCAAUGGGCGCAAGCCUGACCGAGCGACGCCGCGUGUGGGAUGAAGGCCUUCGGGUUGUAAACCACUGUCAGAGGGGAUGAAAUGCAGGUGGGUUCUCCCAUCUGUUUGACAUAGCCUCAGAGGAAGGACGGGCUAAGUUCGUG